rnacentral:rRNA from 1 species
CUACGGGGGGCAGCAGUAAGGAAUAUUGCACAAUGGGGGAAACCCUGAUGCAGCAACGCCGCGUGGACGAAGAAGGCCUUCGGGUCGUAAAGUCCUUUUCUGAGGGAAGAGGAAGGACGGUACCUCAGGAAUAAGUCUCGGCUAACUACGUGCCAGCAGCCGCGGUAAAACGUAGGAGGCGAGCGUUAUCCGGAUUCACUGGGCGUAAAGGGCAAGUAGGCGGUUGUUUAAGUUAGGUGUGACAUCUCUCGGCUUGACUGGGAGGGAGCGCUUAAAACUAGGCAACUAGAGGGCGGAAGAAGGGGGUAGAACUCCAAAUGUAGCGGUGGAAUGCUCAGAUAUUUGGAAGAAUACCAGUGGCGAAGGCGACCCCCCGGUCCGUGCCUGACGCUGAGAGGCGAAAGCUAGGGUAGCGAACGGGAUUAGAUACCCUCGUAGUC